GCACCACAAGAACGCGUGGAGCAUGUGGCUUAAUUUGACUCAACGCGGGAAAUCUUACCGGGUCCGGACACACUGAGGAUUGACAGGCAAUAUCUUGGCUGUUUAAUAAUAACAGCCGUUUAUUAAUAAACGGUUUAUUAAACAGAUCGAGUGUUAAAUAUGCUAGUCCUUUCAUGAUUAUGUGAUAGGUGGUGCAUGGCCGUUCUUAGUUCGUGGAGUGAUCUGUCUGCUUAAUUGCGUUUCACUAAGGGCCCAUAAAUUCAAGGUAUGUUAGCAAUCGUCGCUCUAUGGACCCCUUAUUUCAGUUUAUUAAUAAUAAACUGUUAUAAGCGCGCGUCUUGUUUAAAGAGUUUAAGACACUGCGCAUGCUGUUGGGCUCUGAAAGCAACGAACGUGACCGCAACGUCUUGUUGCCUUAAUCAAGUCGGCUGUUUAAUCUGUUUAAUUAAACAGACAGACAGCAGUCAUUAUAUGGCUUAUCCGAGGCUAUUUAAAACUAGACGAACCGCUGUUUCUUUUCUUAAACCAGAGGAAGGUUGCGGCAAUAACAGGUCUGUGAUG
rnacentral:rRNA from 1 species